rnacentral:lncRNA from 1 species
CAUAGGUAUCCACAUAAGGUCUUCUCAAAUCAAAGGUCAACUAUGUCUCUGGAAUGUUAGCUCUCUUGCAGAGAUCCCUCUUGAUGCUUGAUCUGGGCUUCUUCUCCUAGACAAUCUAAGAGACAAAACAAAAGAGAAAAUAGAGGAAGAUUGGAGAAUAAUUCUCAACCUAUAAAAACCCAGACUCUUCUAGGAAAUAACCCAUGCCUCAAGGGCUACAAUUGCUCAUGCCCA